UGGGGAAUAUUGGACAAUGGGCGCAAGCCUGAUCCAGCCAUGCCGCGUGAGUGAUGAAGGCCCUAGGGUUGUAAAGCUCUUUCACCGGUGAAGAUAAUGACGGUAACCGGAGAAGAAGCCCCGGCUAACUUCGUGCCAGCAGCCGCGGUAAUACGAAGGGGGCUAGCGUUGUUCGGAAUUACUGGGCGUAAAGCGCACGUAGGCGGACAUUUAAGUCAGGGGUGAAAUCCCGGGGCUCAACCCCGGAACUGCCUUUGAUACUGGGUGUCUAGAGUUCGAGAGAGGUGAGUGGAAUUCCGAGUGUAGAGGUGAAAUUCGUAGAUAUUCGGAGGAACACCAGUGGCGAAGGCGGCUCACUGGCUCGAUACUGACGCUGAGGUGCGAAAGCGUGGGGAGCAAAACAGGAUUAGAUACCCUGGUAGUCCACGCCGUAAACGAUGGAAGCCAGCUGUCGGCAAGUUUACUUGUCGGUGGCGCAGCUAACGCAUUAAGCUUCCCGCCUGGGGAGUACGGUCGCAAGAUUAAAACUCAAAUGAAUUGACGGGGGUCAUAGCUGUUUCCUG
rnacentral:rRNA from 1 species